CUGCUUGCAAGAUGCGCCCGGCUUGCCUAUCUUUACAUUGUUCUUCGGAACUAUGGCGAUAAACGCGCUCGUAAUAAGCGGCUCGGACCCGGGGGCGGUACCCGGCGGCUCCACCAACAUUCCGUCAUUUGCGGAAGAUGGGGCCGAAAUAGGAUCGACGGACGUCUAAAGGAGUAGCCUUUGCUCGGUGAGGUACCACCGUUAUCGGUCCGAAAAGUACAAUUGCAAAUGACAAUCGUGCUCCGGUGGCUGUUGCUGCGUAAGCAGUAAUGACAUCGAAACUUAAGCCCUUGCGCCUAGCAGCGUAAGGCGGGGUUCGCAGGCACCUGGCAACAGAAGCCUGCACU
rnacentral:tmRNA from 2 species